GACGAACGCUGGCGGCGUGCUUAACACAUGCAAGUCGAACGGAAAGGCCCUGCUUUUGCGGGGUGCUCGAUUGGCGAACGGGUGAGUAACACGUGAGUAACCUGCCCUUGACUUUGGGAUAACUUCAGGAAACUGGGGCUAAUAUCGGAUAGGAGCUCCUGCUGCAUGGUGGGGGUUGGUAAGUGUCGGCGGUUGGGGAUGGACUCGCGGCUUAUCAGCCUGUUGGUGGGGUAGUGGCUUACCAAGGCUUUGACGGGUAGCCGGCCUGAGAGGGUGACCGGCCACAUUGGGACUGAGAUACGGCCCAGACUCCUACGUGAGGCAACAGUGGGGAAUAUUGCAGAAUGGGCGCAAGCCUGAUGCGGCAGCCCCGCGUGCGGGAUGACGGCCUUCGGGUUGUAAACCGCUUUCGCCUGUGACGAAGCGUGAGUGACGGUAAUGGGUAAAGAAGCACCGGCUAACUACGUG
rnacentral:rRNA from 1 species